GUUGAACGCUGGCGGCAGGCCUAACACAUGCAAGUCGAGCGGAUGAAGGGAGCUUGCUCCUGGAUUCAGCGGCGGACGGGUGAGUAAUGCCUAGGAAUCUGCCUGGUAGUGGGGGAUAACGUCCGGAAACGGGCGCUAAUACCGCAUACGUCCUGAGGGAGAAAGUGGGGGAUCUUCGGACCUCACGCUAUCAGAUGAGCCUAGGUCGGAUUAGCUAGUUGGUGGGGUAAAGGCCUACCAAGGCGACGAUCCGUAACUGGUCUGAGAGGAUGAUCAGUCACACUGGAACUGAGACACGGUCCAGACGCCUACGGGAGGCAGCAGUGUGGAAUAUUGGACAAUGGGCGAAAGCCUGAUCCAGCCAUGCCGCGUGUGUGAAGAAGGUCUUCGGAGUGUAAAGCACUUUAAGUGGGGAGGAAGGGCAGUAAGUUAAUACCUUGCUGUUUUGACGUUACCAACAGAAUAAGCACCGGCUAACUUCGUG
rnacentral:rRNA from 1 species